GGUGGUGUACAGCUCAGGGGUAGAGCGCAUGCUUAGCAUGCGUGAGGCCCUGGGUUCAAUCCCCAGGACCUCCA
rnacentral:tRNA from 1 species